AGCGCGGUCUCGUGGCAUCGGGGCUCGAACAUGGAGGAGCAUCGACUGCGACGCUGCUGUUGCUAUUGCUGCCGGUGCUGUCAAACGUGGCAGAGGUGGUGACGCAUGCACGAGAGAUCACUUGAUACAUACUAUGUCAGACUCCAGUGGUAGCAGGACUUGCUUUUGUCCUUUUUUGCUUUUCUUUUCUUUUCUGAUUCGAUUUGCAGCGUCCACAUUGAUUCCUGUGCAGCCGGCCUGCAAAUUCCUGUCCUUUCGAAGUUCCAGCUAGUAGCACCUCGGUGAUGCCUUCUCAUGCAGAGAGUGCAGUAAGUUUGAAGUGCAUGGUCCCUUCCUACACUUCUUCACAAACCAUUUAGAAUAUGCUUCGUGUGUAAAUUCUACACACUGUGUUGUAGCUGGUGAAGUGAAAUUAUAUAGUGUGCCGAGCAGAGUCGAGAUUUUGUGGAGUUGGGGAGAUCGUAGUUUGGCGUCUUGGUGGAAGCUUUGAUGUUAAGCAACACGAUAUCCCUCAAUUCGCUGGAUCUUGUCCCCAUGGUGCAUAUUGGUUGUACCAGUUUCUUGUCAAGUUUGGUGCCUUCAGUGAAUGGUUUGGUGAUUAUGAAAGUGAACCCUUGUUCAUUCUUUUCAGCUCUAGCUUCUGAACUGAAAAAUUGUGUAGGGCUUUCCUUAUGAAGCGUUCAAGGCGGAUCCCAACUUGUUGGUUAAGCAGAUGUGAUAUAUAGUUGUUUGCUUCAAUGUGUGUAUGCUGAUGGUCGAUUUAGAGGUGUGAGCAAAAAUAUGCAACGUACUCAUAAAUAAUGAUAUAAAGAAAAAAAAACGUUCCGAAAUACUUUUAAAAAUA